rnacentral:rRNA from 1 species
GCUUAACACAUGCAAAUCGAGGGGCAGCAUGGUCUUAGCUUGCUAAGGCCGAUGGCGACCGGCGCACGGGUGAGUAACACGUAUCCAACCUGCCGUCUACUCUUGGACAGCCUUCUGAAAGGAAGAUUAAUACAAGAUGGCAUCAUGAGUCCGCAUGUUCACAUGAUUAAAGGUAUUCCGGUAGACGAUGGGGAUGCGUUCCAUUAGAUAGUAGGCGGGGUAACGGCCCACCUAGUCUUCGAUGGAUAGGGGUUCUGAGAGGAAGGUCCCCCACAUUGGAACUGAGACACGGUCCAAACUCCUACGGGAGGCAGCAGUGAGGAAUAUUGGUCAAUGGGCGAGAGCCUGAACCAGCCAAGUAGCGUGAAGGAUGACUGCCCUAUGGGUUGUAAACUUCUUUUAUAAAGGAAUAAAGUCGGGUAUGUAUACCCGUUUGCAUGUACUUUAUGAAUAAGGAUCGGCUAACUCCGUGCCAGCAGCCGCGGUAAUACGGAGGAUCCGAGCGUUAUCCGGAUUUAUUGGGUUUAAAGGGAGCGUAGAUGGAUGUUUAAGUCAGUUGUGAAAGUUUGCGGCUCAACCGUAAAAUUGCAGUUGAUACUGGAUAUCUUGAGUGCAGUUGAGGCAGGCGGAAUUCGUGGUGUAGCGGUGAAAUGCUUAGAUAUCACGAAGAACUCCGAUUGCGAAGGCAGCCUGCUAAGCUGCAACUGACAUUGGGGCUCGAA